rnacentral:lncRNA from 1 species
GUCGGCUGAGGGCAUGUCCACACCCCUGCUCCCCCAAAUGACAGCUGCUCCCGUGGCUCGGGUGGGGCAGGCGCCAGGUGCGGGUGUGGACUCGCCCACUCAGGGUAUCGCAGCAGCUCACGCUGGGGACGACCAGCAGAAUGCACUUGUUAGCACAGAAUAGGCGUCACGUUUCCCUUCCUAGCAACGAAGCUUCGCCAGACGGCUCAGCAGGCGGACACCGCGGUGGGAGCCGUCCAGAGACCCGACAUCCCCGGCCCGGAUGGCUUCGUGGACGGGGCUUCAGACUUCCACAGACGCGGUCACUGCCACGCAGACCUGCUCCUGGACCCUGUAAGUGAAUCAUGCCCCAAAGAGCCCAAAAAGAGCAACGCAGGCCCGUUUUCAUACUAACAUGAAGGGCCCUCGAGGAGGGCAAAUUCCGUCCAGCUCAUUGAACUAAGACUUAAACCAGGAUUAGGCCUCCCCUGGGCCUCCCCGUACCUGGGCCGCCCCGCACCUGGGCCUCCCCACACCUGCACUUCCUCACCUGCAUGUGCCCCAGGUCCUGCUAGAACCAGGGGGAAUUGAAACUGCAUCCGAGGACAGCAGGUGCUCCGGCAGUGGCUGGUCACUGAGGCCCGUCACCACAAUGGCACAAUCCCAGGUGGCUCUAAGGUAGAUGGGGCCACAGGCAGAUGGCAAAGGGAGACAGCCAGAGAGGGGCCGGUGAGGCAGAGCCAGACGCCCUCGCGGGGCUGAGCACAACUCAGACCCCGAGUGCAAGGCUCAGCGGCAACAGGACUGACCCCUGUCCGCUCCAGCCUCCCCGGGUGGGAACCACCUGCUGGCCCCAGAGUGACCCCUCACAACGCCCCACCAUGUGGCAUGGGCGGCCGCCUAGUGCCGUGUUCUGGCAAGGAGCCUCCCCGGGCUCCGCCUCCGCCCUCGGAUCAGCCCUGGGCAUCCCAGGCUCCUCCCCCUCCAGCCCCGCAGCCCCCCUGGGAAGAAGGAUUGGAGGCGGGUCUGUGUCACUGUGGUGAUUACUGUAUCGGGAGUAGCUGUGCUACCACAGCAUUACAGCACCCAUCCAAAACCCCGUCCCGGGGGGUCCCAGCUGUGGCCCUGCUCUCAGCGCAGCAGGGACGCCUUCCCCCGGGUUUUGAAUGGGGCCACAUCACCAUGCAUGUGGUGUCACCAGGGCAGUGCAGCCUGUAACCGAAACCCACCCGCAGCAGGCACAACGGAAGGAACGGGGCUUCCGGGACGCCGCGCCAGGACCCUGCCUGCUGAUUCCAUCAGACCCUGAAACCCCCCAGCGGAGGCCACCCCAAACCUCAGCCAGACCUGCCUGUCUGGGCCGGGACAGCACACGGGUUGCCCUGGUGAGCGGGCCCUGCCCCACCCUGUGGCCACUGGGCUACCCGGACACGUCACCCCACACCCCACAUCACCCCAACCCCACGUCACCCCACAUCACCCCAACCCCACGUCACCCCACAGCACCUGUUCCCCAAGCAGACUGGGGGCCUGCCCCGUGGGACCCGGGAAGGUGGGCAGGACUCCCCCCUUCAGGGACGGCUGUUUGAACCCGAUUUGGGAAACGUUUCUUCUGGGAGGACGGAUAGACCCACGUGCCCCUCGACCGGUCUGACUGGUCCAUCCAUCCCAUGCUCUGUGGUCCCCUUGGCCUCGUCCAAACCUGGCCUCACCAGGAGGUCCCCAGCGACCCUGGAGACACGCUGCAGACACAGUAUCCCCGAAGUGGACACUCUCCCCGUGGCCUGGGCCACAGAUGUGGGCACACACCCCAAGAGUGUGUCAGACCCCGG